rnacentral:lncRNA from 1 species
UUGUUAAAACCCAGUUCCCCCUUUUUUUCACGAUUUUGAGCACCUCAAGGGAAGUCGAGGCUGCAAAACUUCAAUUCCAGGGGAGCUUCAUGAGUGCAAUUAUUGAUCACAAAUCCUUAAAUGGUUUAAGAAGAACAUAAAGACACCCUUACAAUCAAGUUCCUGAGACCAAUGUAGAUUGUUGAUUGGUAGAGAUUUCAAACUUACCAUUGACACCCAUCAAGAAAGAGACAGGGCGAAGGUGAAUCAGCUAUUUGUAUUUCGGUUCUUAGUGCGAAGGUGAAUCAGCUAUAGAGUAUGGUAACAGGUCGUUAAGAAAGCUCGGAUCAUCCUACUUAGGCGGGGAUAAUGAAUCUGAUCUCGGCAGCAAGCAAGAUGAGUUUAAGUUCGGGCUGGAUGAUGAGGAUGGUUUAUGAUGAUCGAUUCUCUGAAAAGAUACCCUGCCUUGACUGACACCUUAUCUACCAGAUGAGAUUGAAGUUGGAUUUGUCUUUGAUGGAGCACUAUGAAAGACAUUGCCCUCUGCCGAAAGGGCAUUUUAACUACUUGAUUCCUCCCCCAAAUGGGUACAAGGUGCGGGUUCUAAUCAACUAGAAGUGAAAAAAGGACAUGUUGGGUACUGGGUUAUUCAUGUGGCUCAUGGUACCUUGUCAAAUGGGUCGGGUUGACAAGAAACAUUUUAUUGUCCAUGUUCACAAAAAAAACAUAUUAUUUUGGUAGUAUUCUAAGUUUUUAAAUGAGUAAAAUACACGGAUGGUCCCUAUGGCUUACCUAAAUUUUUAUUUGGUCCUAGCUUUUCAAAAGUACACAGAUAGUCCCUGUGGUUUACCUAAAUUUUUUAUUUGGUCCCUAGCUUUCCAAAAGUAGACAAAUGGUCCUGUGAUUUACACUUUGUAAUUCACUGCUGACCAGUCAAUAAGAAAAUUUAUCAUGUGUAUCCUUUUUUUGUUCAUUUGAUAAAACCCCUCAAGGCCUUCUCCAAAUUCACCCGCUUUAUUUCAUGAUGAUAGUGAAAGUGCUAUCAUUAGGUUCAAGAUUUGAUUCCUCAAGCUCCUUCAGGACCUGUCUUGUAGGCCGUAACCAACCGGAUUUACAAAGCCGGCCCGUCAAUCAGUAUGUUGUAUUUGAUUAAUUGAGGAAUGAACAUCCCACUUUGCUUUAAAUACAUGAAUAACUUUAAGGCGUUAUUGGUAUUACUUGUUCUGCGGAGACCAUUAAACAAACAUGCUGUUGAAAGUAGUUGAACAAGGAGAUAUAAUAUCAUCAUGGUAAACCUUGUUGGCUUCGUUGGGUUUUUUAAAUUUAAAAAAGCAAUGAAUUAAAGUAUUAUAACUCCAAACAUCAAGUAAAGUUAUAACUGUGAUGAUGAAGAUAAUAAAAAAACGUCACAAAGCAAAAUAUGUCAUCGAAUAUAUCCAGCAAUGUCUCUGCCGUAAACCCUCACCGGAAAAUAUGUUCACAGAGCAAAAAUGCUCCAGCCGGAAACCUGAUUGGGAAAACGCCUUCAGAAACGUGGAUUACAACGCAUCCACAUCUUCAUCAUCCUCUUUUUCUUCUUUGUUUAAAAAAACUCGACCGGGAGAAAUGAGAUUAUAAGAUGCGGCUUUGGCUGGUCGGGUAAUAGAGAUUGGGGGUGUUUUGAGAGUUCAAGAUGUUGAAGAUAAUGGAGAUUGGAGAUCGCAGUGGAUGUGUGAGUGUGCAUAUUCAAACAUUUCAAAUAUUUAAACAAACGGUUAGUAGACGAAGGGUUGCAAAUUGAAGUACGGAUGAGCUCGAUACCGACUAGUACCGAAAGUACCGGUACUGAAAAUCCCCAAAAGUGGGUACCGGUACCGAAUAUAUCCGGUACCGAAUAUAUCCGGUACGGUACGGUUCGGUAACGGUAUUUGAGGGUAAAAACCAGUAAAUACCGGUACCGAACCUGUACCGGACCGGUACCGAAAAUCUUAAAAGUCGGGUACCGAAAGUGUACCCGGUUCGGUAAAUUCUUUACCGGUACCGGAUACCAUUAACUGAAGCAAAGUAGAAACGUAAAUGGCUCAGGUAUCUAAACGUUUCUUAGGUACGUGCAAAAUGAUUUUUAAACGGGCAUAACUUUUUCAUACAACAAUAUUUUCUUUAACUUACACCAAAUUAAAGAGAAUUUUAUCAUCUUUAAUUUGGUGUAAUUGCCUUAAAAAAUGUUAAUCGUAUGAAAAAGUUAUGUCCGUUUAAAAACCGUAGUGGAAAAAAAAGGAAAAGGUUGAAGCGUCUAACUAGACACUACAACAAGGUGGUGUAGCGAUGCUUCAGCUUUUCUUUUUCUUUUUCUCCUUUCCAUCACGAUUUUUAAUUGAGCAUAACUUUUUCAUACAAUAAAUAUUUUUCAAAAAAAUUACACCAAAUUAAAGAUAAUUUUAUUCUCUUUAAUUUGGUGUUAAUUAAAAAAAAUAUAUUAUUGUAUGAAAAACUUAUACCCAUUCAAAAAAAGUACACCAAAUUAAAGAUAAUUUUAUUCUCUUUAAUUUGGUGUUAAUUUAAAAAAAAUAUUGUAUGAAAAAGUUAUACCCAUUUAAAUAUCGUGAUGGAAAAGAAAAAAAAAGGAAAAAGUUGAAGCGUCCAACGAGACGCUACAGCAGGUGGUGUAGCGUCUGUAAAGACACUUCAGGUGGCUUUUUUCAUAAUUGGUGUGUGUCUACAGCUACUUUCGUGAAUUUCCUUUCUUUUGGCCCUUGAAAAGUCAAACAGGGACUUGUUUUUACAAAACACUAAAGUUUUUCGGGUUUUUUUAGAUGAUCACUCAAGCAAAGGAAGCGGAUUGGCUCCAUGGCCAGCUAGGCUAACUUCUCCACCUCCUCGUCUGAUGCGGAUAGAUCCAACCUCUUUAUUUAUCUCUUAAUUUAUUUAAAUUUAAUAUUUUAUCUUAUUUAGUUUCCUUUUGAAUUACAAUUCCUAUCAUAUAAAUAGGAUGUCUAGGGUUUAUGCUU